rnacentral:rRNA from 1 species
CCUACGGGUGGCAGCAGUCGAGAAUCAUUCACAAUGGGGGAAACCCUGAUGGUGCGACGCCGCGUGGGGGAAUGAAGGUCUUCGGAUUGUAAACCCCUGUCAUGUGGGAGCAAAUUAAAAAGAUAGUACCACAAGAGGAAGAGACGGCUAACUCUGUGCCAGCAGCCGCGGUAAUACAGAGGUCUCAAGCGUUGUUCGGAAUCACUGGGCGUAAGGCGUGCGUAGGCUGUUUCGUAAGUCGUGUGUGAAAGGCGCGGGCUCAACCCGCGGACGGCCCAUGAUACUGCGAGACUAGAGUAAUGGAGGGGGAACCGGAAUUCUCGGUGUAGCAGUGAAAUGCGUAGAUAUCGAGAGGAACACUCGUGGCGAAGGCGGGUUCCUGGACAUUAACUGACGCUGAGGCACGAAGGCCAGGGGAGCGAAAGGGAUUAGAUACCCCAGUAGUC